UUUUCCUCUCAAACCUUUGUUCUUCCUCAAGUAAGUUUUUCAAGAAUUCUCUUCAAUAAUUCUAACUUCUAAUCUAGUUUUGUUUUUGAAAUUUAUAGGAAGAUCUUGCAAUUAUCAAAGGGAAGUAAGAAGGUUUCAAGAAUAAUUAAAGCAGUCAAACUUUUGACUGUUGAUUUUUGUGUAAUCAAGAGUUUAGAGAAGAAGUUGCAGGUACAAGUUCUUGAUGUGCAUGGAAAUCAUAAGCAUCCGGAUGGAGUUUUAGUACACGAGUACUUUCUUAUUUAAGUUAUCUUGAAUUUUAUAUUUGACUUUACUUGACCAAUGGGGUCAAGGUUUGACUUUUGAAUAUGGGACUAGUAUGGGAUAGUCUCGGAGUUUGUAAUUCAUUUACAUACUUUCUUAUUUCCGUUGUAUUAAAGUAUUUUCAGUUUAUUUUAAAAGACUUCCGCUGUAUUAUCUGAUUA